AGUGAACGCUGGCGGUAGGCCUAACACAUGCAAGUCGAACGGCAGCACAGUAAGAGCUUGCUCUUACGGGUGGCGAGUGGCGGACGGGUGAGGAAUACAUCGGAAUCUACUUUUUCGUGGGGGAUAACGUAGGGAAACUUACGCUAAUACCGCAUACGACCUACGGGUGAAAGCAGGGGAUCUUCGGACCUUGCGCGAUUGAAUGAGCCGAUGUCGGAUUAGCUAGUUGGCGGGGUAAAGGCCCACCAAGGCGACGAUCCGUAGCUGGUCUGAGAGGAUGAUCAGCCACACUGGAACUGAGACACGGACCAGACUCCUACGGGAGGCAGCAGUGGGGAAUAUUGGACAAUGGGCGCAAGCCUGAUCCAGCCAUACCGCGCGGGUGAAGAAGGCCUUCGGGUUGUAAAGCCCUUUUGUUGGGAAAGAAAAGCAGCAGGUUAAUACCCCGCUGUUCUGACGGUACCCAAAGAAUAAGCACCGGCUAACUUCGUG
rnacentral:rRNA from 1 species